GUGAAUCAUCGAAUUUUUGAACGCAAAUUGCACUCUCCUCGGAUAGUAGGCCUGUUUGAGGUUGAGCCUAUAAAAAAUCGACAUCGUUUCUUUUUCGCUGUGACGUUCGUCGGAAAUUGGGUCAUGUUAAAUCCUUUUGAUUUAAGCGACUUAAAAUUUUCUUUUUGAUUCCAUGAACUUGUUUCUAAUAUUUAUUUCUUGACACGUUUAAGGUAUAGAUUUUUAUUAUAUUUGACUCGCAUAUCGUAUCUCGUCCAUAAUCUUUUAUUAAUU
rnacentral:misc_RNA from 1 species